UCUACCCAAUGUGGGCCUGACAGAGAAAAAUGAAUAUUUUCAAUAUUUUGGCAAUUGAAUGUUCACAAUUGUUGGCUUUGGACUUUCCAUUAAAAAAGCUCUAAAAUAAUUUGAAAAUCAUUAUUUCAUAAUGCACUUAAUGUUUUAAAAAAUUAUCGUAACCAAAAUAAAAAAGUGAUUUAAAAAAAAAUAAUUGAACAGAAACCGAAUUGACCUCAAAAAACACUUAUCAGUCAGCACUAGUUCCAUGUAGAACCCUCUGUGGAAAUGGUUCUACGUAGAACCCCAAAAGGUUCUAUCCGAAGAAUCCUUUUAGGUUCUAGAUAGCACCUUUUUUUAUAUGAGUGUGAAGAGCGCACAAGACAUAGGGCAUAUAAGUUGCUUGGAGUGGUGAGGGACAGAAGGGGGAGGGGAACGUGGGAGGGAAAGUGUGGAGGAAAGAGACUGGGAGAGAGAAGCUGCUGCAUGUGGACUGUAGCUUGCAGCUGCAAUUGUGGAAGAACGAGAAAGCGUGCGCAUGUGAGAGAGACUCAGAGACUACUAGAUAGAGAGAGAGGGAUAUAGUGAGAGAGUGAGAGAGACAGACAGACAGAGAGUGAAGUAAAUAAAGAAAGACAGUAGUGGCGCAGUGCUUCUCUGUCUACUGUAGAUGUACAAUUCUGUUGUCUGUGGAGGCAGUGUGAUACCAGGACUAUACAUUUGCUGUCUCACCCAAUUGUCUCCUAUCAGCUGGAUUUACUCAGAAAAGGACAUCAAUGACCAUUGGACCAUAUACUUGUUCACAAUAUUGCAGGGACUGAAGGUGGACUUUUAACAAGUGCAGUGACAAUGCAGGAGCAUCUCUCAGUCCAGCACAUGGGCACCAGGAGCACAAAGUUCUCCUAGUAGUGAGGUUUGUCCUGGGCCUCGUCCAGACUACCAUGCCUGACCUCCUGGCCAACCUGAGUGUUCCAUGGGGCACACAGGCGAUUGUGAGCCCCAACCUGACAGCAGCUGCCCUGGUUGUGCCGGGGUCAGACAAGACUCUGGCCCCCUUCUGCACCUUCUGCUGCUGUGGCCUGCUGAACCGUACCCUGGCUGUGGUGUUUAUGGUCAGUCUGGCCUUCGCCAUAGUGGUGGGCAACGUGGUCACGCUCACCGUCUUCAUGCAGACAAGACAGGUCCGUACACCACAGGGAUACCUCAAAGUCUCUCUGGCCAUAGCAGACAUGAUGGUUGGAGUGCUGGUGGUUCCUUUCUCUGUCUACACUGAGAUCUCUCUGAUGGUGACCAGUUCCCCUCCUGUCUGGUACCAGGGGGGCACUGACCCCUCCAUGGGGGGCCUGGUGGGCCCCUGGCAGCCCUGCAUGCUGAUUGGUCCAGUCUUCGCUGGCUGUACAUUUGUCUCCAUCAGUACUAUUUUCCUGAUGACGGUAGAGCGCUGUGUGGCCAUCUUAUGGCCCCUUCAUAAGGACCACCUGGUGACACGGAGACGUACCCUGUUUCUCAUCCUCUUCUCCUGGGCAGGCAGUUUCCUCCUGGCCUUGGCCCCCCUCAUCCUCAGCAACAACUUCACACUGGAGUACAGUGAGUGCAGCCGGAUGUGUAACUACGUCCCCCUGUGGGAUGGAGUCACGCUGCCCUCUGAUGCCAACAUCCUCCUGCUGUUCCCUGUGUUUGACUUCACGCUGCUGGGAGGCACCCUGGUAUUCAACAUCCUGUCCUUCACCAGCAUCCGCCGCUACACACGCAAACGUAAACUCAUGUCAGAGGGGAAUGUAGGGGUCGAGGGAGGGGGAGGCGGCUGCCAACAUAGACCCUCCUUCUCUGACAUCAAGGCUGCCAAGACAAUCAGCAUUCUGACGUUUGCCUUCACGGCUUCCUUCACCCCCAUCGCUGUGUUUGUGCUGGGAAACGUGGUGGGCUUCACCUGGUGCAACUUCUCCUUUGUAGCCUUCUGGAUCCUGACUGGGAACAGCUGCUGUAAUGUGAUAAUAUACAGCGUGAGAGACCAGCGCUUCAAGAAAGGAGUGACUCUGCUUUUUCAGAGGGAGCACUCACCUUCCCAUGGGGAGAAAGGCGGAGCUACACCACCCCCACCUACCUUGUGA
rnacentral:lncRNA from 1 species